AAGAAACUCUCUUUGGAAGAACCUUCUUCUCCCAACUCCACAAACAGGUCUAGCCUGUAUGUGAGCGACUUUUCGAAAUACUGAUGUAACAGUGCUCCUGAUGUAGUUCUACAUCAUACUUCCUCAACCUCGGCCCUCCAGAUAUUUUUGGUCUACAACUCCCAUGAUCCCUAGCUAGCAGGACCAGUGGUCAGGGAUGGUGGGAAUUGUAGUCUCAAAACAUCUGGAGGGCCAGGGUUAAGGAAGCCUGUUCUACAUUGCCUGAGAAGUAGGAGGAUAGUUUUAUGUCGAGCCAAAACGAAGUGGAGCAGCAUUGCUCCCACUUUCUGUCAUGCAUUGGUGAGAAGAAUAGAAAAUGGCCUUUAAUGUAGCCGCUUAGGAUGGGGAGAGAAAGUAAGGACAUUCCAUUAGCUUGCCUAGACAAGCUACCACCCAACCCUUGCCUUCUUGGACUCCCAACAGAAGCCAACCAUUCUGCUUAGCAGGGAGGGACAGACCUUUCCUUUCAACCAUUUUAACUUAGCAGCCUGUGCUCCUUUAAGCUUCCCACAGGCACAGUGGUGAGCCAUGGUGGGUAAAUAAUGUGAGACAAGAUCAGUCUGGCUAGGCUCUUAUGUUCUUAAGAACCCCUGAAUUUGUACACUCCCUCUUUCUCCUCCCUCUCUAGCACAGCAGUGAGGAGGAGUUUGGAAACUUUCACUUCCAGUUCAGACUAAUUGGCUGAGUCCUUUGAGUAUUUAUCUUAAUUGUGGAAGCAAGACAACUUCAAGCCAUGGUGCAGGAUUCCCUUCCUGCCACACCCCCCAAAAAUGGUAUUCUCACCAUCGAUCACAAAUGGUACGGUCUGCCAGCUCCAGGCAAAAAUCAGAUCCUGUGAUGCAGACGAAAGGAUCUUUCCCCUCAACAACAACACACACAAGCCUUACAAACCGGAGCUGCUCAUUUCCAAGCAACAGGGGAGAAAACUAUGCCAAAACAUCUGUUGAUGUUCCCAUGAUGACCGAGAGGGUUAAACAGCCCUGUGAUUGAUUUGAGUUGGCUUUCACAGGAGUGAGUCAUUGGGUGGUUUCUUGGCCCUUUACCUCUUGCACAAUUCAAUCUAUAACUCCAGUUAAACUUUAGUUUGCAAAUAAGGGUCGUAAACAUUUUUUACUUUCUAUAUUCUAUAUACUUUCUGUUUCCAUUGUAUACCAAUAUUCCUUUGAGUGUAUAUAAUUAUGUAUUGCGCUUCGUGAGUGUUAGCUGCAAUCUACCCUGAUUAGUUUAGCUUUUAAACACUAGUUCAAGCUUGAAUAGUUUGUGGUUUCAGCACACUAUUAAAAGGAUCACAUUAAUCAUAAGCCCUCACCCAUUUCAACAUCGUGCAACAAUAACAGUAAUCAUUGGGAUAAAAGCUUUACAUUAGACACCAUGGGUUGCACACCAACAUCACCACAAUAACACAGAUGUCUCUUGGAAACAAUAACAUCACACACACAAAAAUGGUAUUCUGCCCAAUUUGUGCGUAAUAGAAAAGAAAAAAACAAACAAAUUAUUUUUAGCAACAAAGUCCCAUGCCACUAUAAAAUGUUGACAGAUUUAUGAUACCAUGAAGCAUAGUUUUGUGCACCAGAGCCCAACAUGUCUUUGUCAUGUGCAAAAAGGAGUUCUCUAAAUGAGCUUGCAAAAUCAACCAACCAGCAACCAGUUCCUCUUGCCUUUGAAUUUUGUAUUUAAAGGAGACACUGUUUAUGCUGCAACAGACUAACCUAGCUAGCCUUCUGGAAUCUGUUACCAGUGAUACUUUAAGAUGAACCAGUAUUUCAAAAAGCAAAAGUUAUCUCUCCACACAGCAACAACUUGUUCCAAGUAGCUGCUGACUCAGUUGAGUUACACCCUUUAUGGCAUUAGAAACACAAACUUGUCAGAGUGUGACCUUUGAAGAAGAUGCCUGGCUCAGAAAUUCUAAAUUGGUGUAAUACAACCACACCUCUUCUAAACUUGCCUUUCCAGAUGCAGCAACAUUGCAUGCAGAGCUGUACUAAUGAAACGCCAAACUUUGCUGUGCUAACUCUCCAUGACUACAUUUCUACCAUACCAGAAAGGAAUAUUCACCAGAAAAAAAUACCUCUAACAAAGCAAAACCCUCUUACACCCCAACUUGAAAUGCAGUCAUCAAAACUGUUAAUGUUGACUAUCUUUCCUCCACUUCCACAUACAGCAGGACAGCCAGAAAUAUUUAGGCUGAAGUAGCCCUAUGAGCAUCAGAGGCAUCUGUCUGGGAGGAGGAAGGGGACAUGGGAAGAUCAAUAUACCAACAACGUGUCCCUGAACUGCAUCUGAUACCUACAGUGGUCAUGGAAAUGAAAUGCCAAAUUACCAUAUUUUUCCAUCUAUAAGGCGCUCCCAUGCAUAAGACACCCCCUAUUUUGGGGGACUCAAAUUUAAGAAAAUGUGGGGAGAUAUAUCCAUGUAUAAGAUGCCCCCCUAAUUUUUGACAUUAUUUUUUUAGGGGGAAAACCUAGUCUUAUACACAGAAAAAGACGGUGUGUUAAUUGCAUGUAUCAAAAUAUACAAAGCAGAGGUGUCUCUUGGGCACUUAAAUGUACUUUCAACGCAGCCUUUAGAAAGUAAUUUUGCCUUCAGUUUCCUAAAAUGUUAGCUAUGAGAGGGCCUCUAUUCUAUGGUGUCAGGAGGUCAUCAAAUAAUCUGCCUUGGAAAUUCGCUUCUCUUUCUGUUCCAAUUUAUGCAUUCCUAAAUUACAGCUCUCCAUUCAUUUUAGCGAUGCUUUUCAAACAAAACUCCAGUUAUUUGAAUGUCAUCUGGACUAGAUAAUAAUAUACGGUACUGUAUUAUAAGGUAAAAUACCAAGCAAGGAAUCACAAUUCUUUUUUGUUCUGGAAAACUACAUGUAUCUCUAAUAAUAUGCUGAAAGCAAACUGGAAAGAGGCUACAUUACGAGUGAGGUUACUACAAGGCAAGAUGGGGAAAGAGGCCAAAGUUCUGCAGCAAAUGCUUAUGUGGAAGAGAAAGAAAAGCAGUGUGGA